rnacentral:rRNA from 1 species
UACGUAGGGUGCGAGCGUUAAUCGGAAUUACUGGGCGUAAAGCGUGCGCAGGCGGCUUUGCAAGACAGAUGUGAAAUCCCCGGGCUCAACCUGGGAACUGCAUUUGUGACUGCAAGGCUAGAGUACGGCAGAGGGGGAUGGAAUUCCGCGUGUAGCAGUGAAAUGCGUAGAUAUGCGGAGGAACACCAAUGGCGAAGGCAAUCCCCUGGGCCUGUACUGACGCUCAUGCACGAAAGCGUGGGGAGGAAACAGG